AUUGAACGCUGGCGGCAGGCCUAACACAUGCAAGUCGAACGGUAGCACAGAGAGCUUGCUCUCGGGUGACGAGUGGCGGACGGGUGAGUAACGUCUGGGAAACUGCCCGAUGGAGGGGGAUAACUACUGGAAACGGUAGCUAAUACCGCAUCACGUCGCAAGACCAAAGUGGGGGACCUUCGGGCCUCCCACCAUCGGAUGUGCCCAGAUGGGAUUAGCGAGUAGGGGGGGUAAUGGAUCACCUAGGCGACGAUCCCGAGCUGGCCUGAGAGGAGGACCAGCCACACGGGAACUGAGACACGGUCCAGACUCCUAUGGGAGGCAGCAGUGGGGAAUAUUGCACAAUGGGCGCAAGCCUGAUGCAGCCAUGCCGCGUGUAUGAAGAAGGCCUUCGGGUUGUAAAGUACUUUCAGCGGGGAGGAAGGCGGUGAAGUUAAUAACUUCACCGAUUGACGUUACCCGCAGAAGAAGCACCGGCUAACUCCGUGCCAGCAGCCGCGGUAA
rnacentral:rRNA from 1 species